GAGUCGUCUCGCGCGGAAGAUGUAACGGGGCUAAGCAUAUAACCGAAGCUAUGGAUGCAUGUUUACAUGCAUGGUAGGAGAGCGUUCUGUAGGCCUGUGAAGGUGUUCUGUGAGGAAUGCUGGAGGUAUCAGAAGUGCGAAUGCUGACAUGAGUAGCGAUAAAGGGAGUGAAAGGCUCCCUCGCCGAAAGCCCAAGGUUUCCUGCGCAACGUUCAUCGGCGCAGGGUGAGUCGGCCCCUAAGGUGAGGCAGAAAUGCGUAGCUGAUGGGAAACAGGUUAAUAUUCCUGUACCUCAAUUUAAUGCGAUGUGGGGACGGAGAAGGUUAGGUCAGCCAGGUGUUGGAUAUCCUGGUUCAAGCGUGUAGGUAGGUUCUUUAGGCAAAUCCGGAGAGCCAAUAUCGAGGCGUGAUAACGAGUGAACUUUGUUCAUGAAGUGAUUGAUACCAAGCUUCCAAGAAAAGCCACUAAGCUUCAGUUAAGUUGAGACCGUACCGCAAACCGACACAGGUGGGCAGGAUGAGAAUUCUAAGGCGCUUGAGAGAACUCUGGAGAAGGAACUCGGCAAAUUUGUACCGUAACUUCGGGAGAAGGUACGCCCCAGUAGGUUGUAGCGAUUUACUCGCGAAGGCCGAUGGGGUUGCAGUGAAAAGGUGGCUGCGACUGUUUAAUAAAAACACAGCACUGUGCUAACACGAAAGUGGACGUAUACGGUGUGACGCCUGCCCGGUGCCGGAAGGUUAAAUGAUGGGGUGCAAGCUCUUGAUUGAAGCCCCGGUAAACGGCGGCCGUAACUAUAACGGUCCUAAGGUAGCGAAAUUCCUUGUCGGGUAAGUUCCGACCCGCACGAAUGGCGUAACGAUGGCCACACUGUCUCCUCUAGAGACUCAGCGAAGUUGAAAUGGUUGUGAAGAUGCAAUCUACCCGCGGUUAGACGGAAAGACCCCAUGAACCUUUACUAUAGCUUUACAUUGGACUUUGACAUCAACUGUGUAGGAUAGGUGGGAGACUUUGAAGCAGGAUCGCCAGAUCUUGUGGAGUCAUCCUUGAAAUACCACCCUGUUGUUGUUGAGGUUCUAACCCAGGUCCCUUAUCGGGAUCGGGGACCGUGUAUGGUGGGUAGUUUGACUGGGGCGGUCUCCUCCCAAAGAGUAACGGAGGAGUGCGAAGGUAACCUAGGUACGGUCGGAAAUCGUACUGUUAGUGCAAUGGCAUAAGGUUGCUUGACUGCGAGACGGACAGGUCGAGCAGGUGCGAAAGCAGGUCAUAGUGAUCCGGUGGUUCUGUAUGGAAGGGCCAUCGCUCAACGGAUAAAAGGUACUCUGGGGAUAACAGGCUGAUUCCUCCCAAGAGUUCAUAUCGACGGGGGAGUUUGGCACCUCGAUGUCGGCUCAUCACAUCCUGGGGCUGUAGUCGGUCCCAAGGGUAUGGCUGUUCGCCAUUUAAAGUGGUACGUGAGCUGGGUUUAAAACGUCGUGAGACAGUUUGGUCCCUAUCUGCCGUGGGCGUUGGAAGUUUGAAGGGGGCUGUUCCUAGUACGAGAGGACCGGAAUGGACAGAUCUCUGGUGGAUCGGUUGUCACGCCAGUGGCAUAGCCGAGUAGCUAAAUCUGGAAGAGAUAAACGCUGAAAGCAUCUAAGCGUGAAACUCGCCCUAAGAUGAGACUUCCCUUGCACUUUAAGUGCACUAAAGAGUCGUUCAAGACCAGGACGUUGAUAGGUCAGGUGUGGAAGCGCAGUAAUGCGUGAAGCUAACUGAUACUAAUUGCUCGUGAGGCUUGAUCCU
rnacentral:rRNA from 1 species